GAGGGUCAAAACGACAUGUCGCGCCGCGCCGCGGCAGUCAACAGAAAUAACAAGCCACGCCAUCGUCCUUUGUCUCGACCGUUGCUUUCCCGAAGCCCUAAUCCAAUCUUGGCUCGCGGCCGUGGGUGGAAUCGCCGCCGCCGGCGAACCCUAAUCCGAGCUCAAAUAUGAAGAGGGCAAUGCCUUGGAGUGAUGAGGAAGAGGACUCAUCUGAAGAAUCAUCAUCCCAUUCAGAUAAUGAAUCUGAUGAUGGUGUUGGGAAGAAGAAAGAAAAGAAUAAAUCUAGGAGUGAACAAUCUUCCAAAGAUGCUUAAAUUCAGGGAAAUCUGGAAAGCAGAAGAGUAGUGGAAUGAGUUUUGAAGCAUUAAAGCAACACGGUUUCAAGGGCGGGUUAUCGGUCUUAGGAGUGCCCCCUCCAAAAGACGAUGAUGCCCAGAAAGACUGGUCAUGGUCCACUGGGAGGGAAGGUCGUAAGACUGAGGAUGCUGAUGAAUCAUACAAAGAGCGGCAAAGAACAAGAGCUGCACUAGCAUCUGGAGAGCAAUUGGCCGAUGUUCAAACCCGGAAAGAGAAGAAGAAUCUUUCCUUCUCGCAGAAGGAAAAGAAGAAGAGAGAUCUUGGUCAGGCCAGCAGGGUGAAGAAUUAUGUUGAAGAGGAGAAGAGGCUAUUGAGAGAUAGUGGUGUUUAUUCUGGCUUCGAUUCAUGAACCUUGAUCUCGAUCCAAAAUGAUGUAAUUUUGAAAUAUGGAUUUGCUGAUCAACUUCAAACUGUUGGCCUGUACUUCCUUUGGAAUGUUAUCUGAAAUGUAACAGAAGAAAGCACCCUCAUUCAUACUUAGUAGCAGGGGUGGGGUGAA